AAUCAACGCUGGCGGCGUGCCUCAGACAUGCAAGUCGAACGAUUAAAGCUCUCUUCGGAGAGUGUAUAGAGUGGCGCACGGGUGAGUAACACGUAAGUAAUCUACCUUCGAGUGGGGAAUAACAGUCGGAACGACUGCUAAUACCGCAUAAUGCAGCGGCAUCGCAAGAUGACAGUUGUUAAAGGAGUAAUUCGCUUGAAGAGGAGCUUGCGGCAGAUUAGCUUGUUGGUAAGGUAAUGGCUUACCAAGGCUACGAUCUGUAACCGGUCUAAGAGGACGGUCGGUCACACUGACACUGAAUAACGGGUCAGACUCCUACGGGAGGCAGCAGUCGGGAAUUUUGGGCAAUGGGCGAAAGCCUGACCCACGCAACGCCGCGUGAAGGAUGAAGUAUUUCGGUAUGUAAACUUCGAAAGAAUAGGAAGAAUAAAUGACGGUACUAUUUAUAAGGUCCGGCUAACUACGUGCCA
rnacentral:rRNA from 1 species